rnacentral:rRNA from 1 species
AACUCAAGGAAUUGACGGGGGCCCGCACAAGCGGUGGAGCAUGUGGUUUAAUUCGAUGAUACGCGAGGAACCUUACCUGGGCUCAAAUGUAUGUUGACGUAUUCUGAAAGGGAUACUUCUUCGGACAAUAUACAAGGUGCUGCAUGGUUGUCGUCAGCUCGUGCCGUGAGGUGUCGGGUUAAGUCCCGCAACGAGCGCAACCCCUUUCCUUAGUUGCCAUCAGGUAAUGCUGGGGACUCUAAGGAUACUGCCCCGGUUAACGGGGAGGAAGGUGGGGAUGACGUCAAGUCAGUAUGUCCCUUACGUCCAGGGCUACACACGUGUUACAAUGGCCGGUACAAUGAGUUGCGACCCUGCAAAGGUAAGCCAAUCUCAAAAAACCGGUCUCAGUUCGGAUUGCAGUCUGCAACUCGACUGCAUGAAGUUGGAAUCGCUAGUAAUCGUAGAUCAGCACGCUACGGUGAAUACGUUCCCGGGCCUU